GUACCCUGUAUCGUCUGCCUGAAGGAAGUUUUUCAAAUUCAUUAAUCCAUGUUUAUGUAGACAGUGGACAUUUAUCUUUAAAAAAAGACCCCGACUCAGAGCAUGGAAAAGUUGUCAAUAAGUUAAAGUCUUGAGUCUUGUUCAUUAAUUCGUCAUUAACCAGACUUACAUUUCCUUGGGGUGCAUGUAGAACAUCAUAUAUUAUUCAUGAAAGUAAAUAACACAAAGUCAGAAUGCCGAGGAAAGUUAUGUUUUUAGGUUACCAGCUCCAGAAACAAUACUGCAAAACAUAAAACUAAGUUAUACACUUAAAUUUAAACUAUUAUCUCGGGAAAUAUUGUUCUCAUCGCUGUCUCUUUGCGAGCGGCCAUCUUGCCAAAAAAUAUCUCGUUUGAACAUCUCGCGUGGUUCUGUGUGAUUUGGACAACUUCAAGUUACGCCUCCUGCUACACGUUACGCCCCCUUCAAGUUACGCCCCUCUCUUGCAGUCCGCAGAUGCUAUUGGAGCGUAGAGGGACUUCCGCGCCACCGGAGACGUGAGCCGCCGAACCCGCGGUCCGGAAGAAGCUGCACCCGUGGAUGGUCGUCGAGCCAGGAUGCCGGGCCGUACAAGUCCCGCCGGACUCCGCGGAAGCCGCCGCUAUAAUAAAGUCGCCGCCUCUCGCGUCCCAGACCCGAGUGGGAGCGCGUGCUUCCGCCGGACUCCGCCCCUUACCUGGACCCUCCCUUCCAGAACACUGCCCUCGUUCUUUUGGACACUUUUUCUCCUUGGACACUUUAUUUUUAUUAUUUUUGUUUAAUAAAAGCCUCUCCGAGGCCUGACGCCACACCCACAAUAAUUUAGGUGUACAGUUGUAAUUGACCGAAUAGUAUGUUUUUCAGAUGUCUUUAGUACUUUUGGACCAUUGCUAGGCAUGGACAAAUAAUGUCCAUGUGGGUCAGUCAGCUCAUCAGAUGCUUGCUCCAUAGCAAAUAUCAAAAUCUAUUAAUCAGAUACAAAUGAAAUUUGUUAUGCAAAUUAAUUAUUUAAGGGCCGUUGAUUUGGUCAGUUUUGGUCUUAUAACCUUUCCUCUGCUUUCACCAUCAGGGCAAAUUUUCAGCUUUGUACAGAGCUUGUGUUGUUCUAAGAAAUGUGUCCUUAAACCAUGACCAAACAAGAUGUACAACUAAUGUGUUAUACUGUAUCUACAGGAGACCUGGGCAAGCAUGGUGAAGGACCCCCAUACCAGCUAUUCUCAAAGAAAUUUUCAAAGAUUUAGAAGAAAAAAACCCAGAAUUUCACAAAGGACAACAAGACACAAGCAAUUAUGGAAAAGAAUCAGUGGGACUUGAAGAAAAUUUGUUUUAAAGGAAGACGACUGACCAGACUUGACGACUUCAUAAGGACCUACAGAGACACGCACACUGCACUUCUAAGGGAAUUUAAUGAGUCAACAUUGUUGUAUUUCAAUGUGUCUUAGAACACCAUAUCCUGAAGGAGAAGUGGAGGCAGCGAAAGCAAAAUAGGAGAGGAGUCUGUUACCUCCAUCAAAAAGCCAUUCCAUUUAAAAAAAAAAACAGCGGUCACAUGAAGCACAUUUGGAUACAUUACUUAACAAAGAUUUAAAAUACAUUUCUAAUUUCAAAUGUCUUUCCUGAAAUAAAGCAGGUGUCUGCAGCCCCACGGUCAACAAGCACACCUUCUCCUCACAGACAGAUACCAUUAGUAGCAGCAGAAGACCCAAAGACAGACAAAGAUGCUUCUGAGCCCUGUCCAGUUGGUGGCGAGUGCGCUCCAGUGAGGCAGCAGAGCGCGCGAUCGUCUCCAGAACAAAAAUAAAGGUAUUUUGCUGUCUUUGAUUACUCACAGGCGAAUAUAGUAAAGCGAAUCGCUUGAUCUGAGGUGUCUACAGCGAUCUAUCACGCCACAUUAAAGAGCGCCAAAACGGUAUUUAUUGCUUGAAUUUCCUAAUAAAAUGGACAGAAUUUGAAACCUGAGACUGCAUUUCAUAUCAAAAGUAACACACAAAGUUUAGCCGAUUGUCUAA